GUGCUUUCUUUGGCAGCACAAACACUAAAAUUGGAAUGAUAUAGAGAAGAUUAGCAUGGCCCCUGUACAAGGAUGAAAUGCAAAUUUGUGAAUUGUUCCAUAUUUUU
ensembl:snRNA U6 U6 spliceosomal RNA